rnacentral:rRNA from 1 species
GAUGAACGCUGGCUACAGGCUUAACACAUGCAAGUCGAGGGGAAACGCCGUGGAAGCUUGCUUCUCCGGGCGUCGACCGGCGGACGGGUGAGUAACGCGUAUCCAACCUGCCUCUGACUGAGGGAUAACCCGUCGAAAGUCGGCCUAAUACCCCAUCGCAUCGCCUGCGGGCGUCCAACGACGUUUAAACAUUUCCGCUGUCAGGGAUGGGUAUGCGUCUGAUUAGAUUGUUGGCGGGGUAACGGCCCAGCAAGGCGACGAUCCGUAGCUGGGCUGGUAGGAUGAUCAGCCACACUGGAACUGAGCCGCGGUCCAGACUACUAUGGUAGGCAGCGCUGCGGAAUAGUGGACAAGGGGCGGAAGGGGGACCCAACCCUACCGCGUGGGUUGAAGAGGCCCUGGGGUUGGAAAGGUCUUUUGUUUGUAAGGAAAAGCAGCGGGUGAGACGUGCGCUUUACUGAAGGUACCGAAUGAAUAAGCACCGGCUAAUUUCGUG